rnacentral:rRNA from 1 species
UACGUAGGGUGCGAGCGUUAAUCGGAAUUACUGGGCGUAAAGCGUGCGCAGGCGGUUCUCCAAGUCCGUUGUGAAAGCCCCGGGCUCAACCUGGGAAUGGCAGUGGAAACUAGGGGACUGGAAUCUGGCAGAGGGGGGUGGAAUGCCGCGUGUAGCAGUGAAAUGCGUAGAUAUGCGGAGGAACACCGAUGGCGAAGGCAAUCCCCUGGACCUGUACUGACGCUCAUGCACGAAAGCGUGGGGAGCAAACAGG